CUUCAAUCGACAUCAAACACCCUGCACGUAUUUAAAGUGUACAAUCUGAUGAGUUUUGACACGUGCACACGCCUGAGAAACCAGCGCCGUAACCGGGAUAAGCCACAAAUCCGUCUCAUCCCCCGAAGUUUCCUGGAACCCUUUGGUCCACGUAUGCACAUUCUGCAAUAAGAAGGGCGACAUCCCAUAGUAUGUCCCACCACCUGACUUAGCCCUCCCUCUGAUGAAUGACAACGUGGAGUCGAAGGCAGC
rnacentral:lncRNA from 1 species